ACUACGGGAGGCAGCAGUGGGGGAUAUUGCACAAUGGGGGGAACCCUGAUGCAGCGACGCCGCGUGGGUGAAGGAGUAUUUCGGUAUGUAAAGCCCUAUCGGCAGGGAAGAAGCAAGACGGUACCUGACUAAGAAGCCCCGGCUAACUACGUGCCAGCAGCCGCGGUAAUACGUAGGGGGCGAGCGUUAUCCGGAUACACUGGGUGUAAAGGGAGCGUAGACGGCCAUGCAAGCCAGGGGUGAAAGGCCGGGGCCGAACCCCGGGACUGCCCUUGGAAAUGCAUGGCUGGAGUGCGGGAGGGGCAGGCGGAAUUCCUGGUGUAGCGGUGAAAUGCGUAGAUAUCAGGAGGAACACCGGCGGCGAAGGCGGCCUGCUGGACCGCGACUGACGUUGAGGCUCGAAAGCGUGGGGAGCGAACAGGAUUAGAUACCCCUGUAGUC
rnacentral:rRNA from 1 species